rnacentral:ncRNA from 2 species
UAAGAGUGCAGAUAGAGAUAUGCUGUAUACCUGCAUAACCGAAUUAACGUUUAAGCGACAUGUAAUGUCGUCGGCCGCAGGGACCGCCAUUUGGCGGUUAUCAUUCCUUAUCAUAUUUAGAUCAACAGAUCCCAUCAAACCUCUUAACCAAUGCGUAACACGAUGGGCCUGACCCCGGAGCAAUCCGGGGUUUUAUAUUUCG